GUACACACCGCCCGUCGCUGCCCGGGACUGAGUUGUUUCGAGAAAAGCGGAGACUGUUGUUUAGAGCGUUUUCGGACGAUCUUAACGGCGAAAACCGCCUUAAUCGAAACGGCUUGAACCGGGCAAAAGUCGUAACAAGGUUUCCGUAGGUGAACCUGCGGAAGGAUCAUUAUUGAGCUAAUACUUUGAUCUUUGAGUUGAAAUCUCGCUGUUAACGUUUCUAAGCGUGUUUUUUCACUCGUUCAACGGCUUUGAUCGGUUUCUAUAGAUGUUCGGAGCAGUUGUAUGAGCGUGACUGUGGUGAUGAACAUUUGAGUCAAAUUUAUUUGGCUAGAAUUAAAAAAAUAUGCAAGAUUUGCCGAUCUAAACAAAACUUUCAAUAACAUUUGUUAAAGUUUGACUGCACCAGCCGUAGGUGUAAUUAAAAGAUUUAUCAAGUCUUAUCGGUGGAUCACUCGGUUCGUAGUUCGAUGAAAAACGGGGCAAAAACCGUUAUUUGGCGUGAAUUGCAGACAUAUUGAACGCUAAAAUUUUGAACGCAAAUGGCACUAUCAGGUUUAUAUCUGUUAGUAUGUUUGGUUGAGGGUCGAUUAAUUCGUUACUUGCAGUCAGCUUUGAUUGUUUUUUCGAUUAGUUACUUUUUUUAAAGAAAAGGUACCUUUUCGGCAUGAAUUAAUUGUAGUUUAAUUCAAGAGCAGUGCGUACUGCUUGAGAACUAUCGCUAAAAUUCUGCAGUUGGUUGUUGACGCGUUUCUUGUCGGCUGACGUGUACGGAUUCGUACGUGUGUUUCUACAAAAGUCAGUGCAGCUAGUGGAAUUUGAAAACUUUUCGAUUUACGACCUCAACUCAAGCAAGAUUACCCGCUGAACUUAAGCAUAUCAGUAAGCGGAGGAAAAGAAACUAACUAGGAUUU
rnacentral:misc_RNA from 1 species